rnacentral:sRNA from 1 species
GUGGUGAAAGCCUAUACCACACGCGUGGGCAUCGGGGCCUUCCCCACUGAACAGAUUAACGAGAUUGGAGACCUGCUGCAGACCCGCGGUCACGAGUGGGGAGUGACCACAGGCAGGAAGAGGCGCUGUGGCUGGCUCGACCUGAUGAUUCUGAGAUAUGCUCACAUGGUCAACGGAUUCACUGCGCUGGCCCUGACGAAGCUGGACAUCCUGGACGUACUGGGUGAGAUUAAAGUCGGCGUCUCAUACAAGCUGAACGGGAAAAGGAUUCCCUAUUUCCCAGGUAUGUGAAGUAGGGCAACCGUUCUGCCUGUUGGGCCGUUUCAUGGCAUUGGAA